GCGCCUGUAGCUCAGCUGGAUAGAGCACAGCCCUGCGGAGGCUGGGGUCGCGGGUUCAAAUCCCGCCAGGCGUGCCA
rnacentral:tRNA from 1 species